GGUAACAGCGUUCCGUGUUUCAGUCGCACUGGCCAUGUGACCACGGAAGAUUUUCUUCGGACAAAACGCUGGCUCUAUGGCUUGGAAAUGGGGAUGAGCACCGCCCCCUAGAAUCGAACACGACUGGACAAAAAUUGUCAAGGGGAACCUUUACCUUUUACCUCUAUAGAGAUAUUAGCUAUCAUUUGUUAUCAACUGAUAGCUAAUAUCUCUAUAGCUAUAGUAUCCCUCUUCACUGUCAUAGACAGCAACAUAACAGGGGGUGCAUUGCAAUGCAGGGCCGUACCAUCGCUUCAGUUAAACACGCACUGCCUCCACAGCAGAUUAUCAGGUGCAGCAGAUGCUUCUCUCUGUAAGCAGGGGGAAUAGCUCAGUGAGUUGGGCACCUGGCUGUCGAACCCGUAGUCGAGAGUUCAAUUCCUCCACUGUGCCUCCAGGGAGAAGGGCCAGCCUAUGAAGUCUUGGUUGAGCUGAAGAGUCCCAGCGCGCCCCUGCACUCCCCAGAAGACAGAACUGAAUAUGUUACACCUGGGAUGCCCUUAAGAGGGUCCAUCAUAAGACAGAACUGGCUUGACGGCAUGCUGUUGUUGUUGUUCUUGUUGUUGUUGAUGAUGAUGUUCCUGGAAGUCUCUGUCUGACGGAUGGCAUUUUAUCUAUCUGCUGCUCUGUCCUUCUCUUUGGUAGGUCUGGGGAAGCCAUUUUGUCUGAACAUUUUGCAGAACAUCCUUACUCAACCUGUUGCCUUCCAGACGUUACGGACGAGAACUUCCAUCUUCCUCUGCCACCUUGGCCGAAGAUCUUCAGUCUUGACCAGCAUAGCUAACUGCUGAGGAUGAUGGGAUUGUAACUAACACCACCAGAAAGGUGACGCUUUCCCCACUCUUGGCGUGGAUUAUCCUAAACUAGCUGGAACGAAUCAGCAGACUUUGUACAAGAUCUCUCCAGGCUCAUAUUGGAAGCCUUGGACAACUUUGAAGUGAGAAGAUGCAACCUCAGUGGCCACCAGGCUGGCUGGAGAUUCUGAAAUCUGUUGUCUGAAUAUGGAAUAUUUCCAGACUUUGUAUGGGCACCUAUAUUUACUGUGAGUCUUUCAGAGAACAUUCAUCACGGGGCAGCAGAAACAAAUGGAAAAGCAGUAGGGUAUGUUCUUGACAAAAAUGUAUGCUUUUGGGCCAGGCUGUGGAUCUCUCUCUACAACUUACUUGCAGUAACUAAAAUAAAAUAAAUAAUGCAAGCUUUGACUCCUUUUUA
rnacentral:lncRNA from 1 species